rnacentral:rRNA from 1 species
GUGGGGAAUUUUGGACAAUGGGCGCAAGCCUGAUCCAGCCAUGCCGCGUGUGUGAAGAAGGCCUUUUGGUUGUAAAGCACUUUAAGCGAGGAGGAGGCUCUUCUAGUUAAUACCUAGGAUGAGUGGACGUUACUCGCAGAAUAAGCACCGGCUAACUCUGUGCCAGCAGCCGCGGUAAUACAGAGGGUGCGAGCGUUAAUCGGAUUUACUGGGCGUAAAGCGUGCGUAGGCGGCUUUUUAAGUCGGAUGUGAAAUCCCUGAGCUUAACUUAGGAAUUGCAGUCGAUACUGGAAAGCUAGAGUAUGGGAGAGGAUGGUAGAAUUCCAGGUGUAGCGGUGAAAUGCGUAGAGAUCUGGAGGAAUACCGAUGGCGAAGGCAGCCAUCUGGCCUAAUACUGACGCUGAGGUACGAAAGCAUGGGGAGCAAACAGGAUUAGAUACCCUAGUAGUCC